CCUGCAGUGCCCGGAGAAACUGGGAAUGACCCAAAGAAGGAAAAGGAAGAUGUGUUUGUGUGAAUUUCAAUCAGCAAUUGGUUCAGAGUCAAGAAGAGCUGUUUUGCCUUCCAUGAAACGCUACAUCCUCUGCCUGAAGUGACGGUCUCAGCCAGCCCAUGAGCCUUGACAGCGCAUUGUUCGAGUUUGGAAUCAACUGCCGCCUUUUCAUGGAGAACUUCCUGAAUCUGCAGUUAAAAUUUCAUUUUUUUCUGGGUGUCCCAAGUAAAACACCCUCUGUUAAAGAUUUAUCACUUCCGCUGUAUUUCAGCUGCCUGUGGGCAUCCCUCAAUGGUGAGCUCCGUGACAGCAAGGACUGUGUCUUUGUCCUCCAGAUCACAAUUCGUGCUAAACACUGCUCUGUCC
rnacentral:lncRNA from 1 species